CACAGCUUCUAAUGUAGCAGGAA
rnacentral:misc_RNA from 1 species